GAGAGUGUUGGCCAACUUUCA
rnacentral:siRNA from 1 species